rnacentral:rRNA from 1 species
CGGCGCACGGGUGAGUAACACGUAUCCAACCUGCCGUCUACUCUUGGACAGCCUUCUGAAAGGAAGAUUAAUACAAGAUGGCAUCAUGAGUCCGCAUGUUCACAUGAUUAAAGGUAUUCCGGUAGACGAUGGGGAUGCGUUCCAUUAGAUAGUAGGCGGGGUAACGGCCCACCUAGUCUUCGAUGGAUAGGGGUUCUGAGAGGAAGGUCCCCCACAUUGGAACUGGGACACGGUCCAA